AGUUGGUGGUGAAAUCCCAGAGCUUAACUCUGGAACUGCCAUCAAAACUUUUUAGCUAGAGUAUGAUAGAGGAAAGCAGAAUUUCUAGUGUAGAGGUGAAAUUCGUAGAUAUUAGAAAGAAUACCAAUUGCGAAGGCAGCUUUCUGGAUCAUUACUGACACUGAGGAACGAAAGCAUGGGUAGCGAAGAGGAUUAGAUACCCUCGUAGUCCAUGCCGUAAACGAUGUGUGUUAGACGUUGGAAAUUUAUUUUCAGUGUCGCAGCGAAAGCGAUAAACACACCGCCUGGGGAGUACGACCGCAAGGUUAAAACUCAAAUGAAUUGACGGGGACCCGCACAAGUAGUGGAGCAUGUGGUUUAAUUCGAAGAUACGCGCAGAACCUUACCAACACUUGACAUGUUCGUCGCGACUUUAAGAGAUUAAAGUUUUCGGUUCGGCCGGACGAAACACAGGUGCUGCAUGGCUGUCGUCAGCUCGUGUCGUGAGAUGUUGGGUUAAGUCCCGCAACGAGCGCAACCCUCACUUUUAGUUGCCAUCAUUUAGUUGGGCACUCUGAAAGAACUGCCAGUGAUAAGCUGGAGGAAGGUGGGGAUGACGUCAAGUCCUCAUGGCCCUUACGUGUUGGGCUACACACGUGCUACAAUGGUAUCUACAACAGGAAGCAA
rnacentral:rRNA from 1 species